rnacentral:tRNA from 1 species
ACAUGUAUGGCUGAGUGGUCGAAAGCACCGGACUCAUAAUCCGUUUCCAAAUGGACAACGUAGGUUCAAAUCCUGCUACAUGUA